rnacentral:tRNA from 1 species
GUCCCCGUAGCUCAGUGGAUAGAGCAACCGCCUCCUAAGCGGUAGGUCGCAGGUUCAACUCCUGCCUGGGACGC